CUAGCAUUUUGAGUGUGGUGUCCAUGCUAAAUUGAGUGACAGCGAGGCGAGGCGACCCUGAUAUUAACAUCUGCCAGGCACCAAAUGCAUUAGAAACCUUCACAUAGAAAUGGGUUCUGGAUUUCGAAUUUCUGAUAUGUUUCUCCCUUAAACAUACACUCCCAAGAACUGGAGUUUAAGAUUUGUCUUUCAGUUUAGCUGCUGACCUUCUUACAUCAUCUUCGGCCGGCACACUGAUACUUCAGAUCCGUUUGUGCUUUGUGGCCAUUUUGUCAACCUACUUAACAAUAAUGGUGAAAGUCCACUGUGUGCCUGCCAGAUGCCAAACCCCAUUUCAAGCCCUUUAUAUGCAUCUUCUCUUUUAAUCCUCUAACCCACUUUUGGAAGUAGAUACCUUUAUGAUCCCUGUUUUCCAGAUGAGAAAAUUAAGGCUUGGAAAGAUUACCAAUUUAGCUUAAGGUGGCACAGCUAGUGGUGGAGCCAAGGUUAAACGCCAUGCUCUUAAUCUCCAUGCUCUACCACCACUGGUUUCUUCUGUUCCCGGUGAAACUGGCACUGCAGGAGCAGUUGGUUCCAGUCUCUUGGCUUUUGCCCACUAUCAGAGCAGCCAUUUCCUCUGUAACAAGGACUUCGAAUUUCUUUUGAUAUCAUUUGCUCACACUGGAACAAUGGGAAAAACAUACACGUUGAGUAAUGCCACUGAUAUGUGUGUCAUCGAAGUUCGAAAAUAAGCUGUUUUGUGGCUCGUUCAGCUUACUAUCAAAAAAACACAAACAACCCAAUCAAAAAAAGGAGAGAAGACCUAAGUAGACAUUCCUCCAAAGAAUACAUACAGGUGGCCAACAGGCACAUGAAAAGAUGCUCAAUAUCACUAAUUAUUAGAGACAUACAAAUCAAAACUACAAGGAAGUAUCGCUUCACCCCAGUCAGAAGGUCAUCAUUAAAAAAUCUACAAGUAAUAAAUGCUGGAGAGGAUGUGGAGAAAAGGGAAGCCUCUUACACUGUUGAUGGGAAUGUAAAUUUGUGCAGCCACUAUGGAACACACUAUGGAGGUGGCUUAAAAAACUAAAACUAGAGUUAUCAUAGGAUCCUGCAGUCCCACUCCUGGGCCUAUAUCCAGAAAAAAAAAUCUAAUUCAAAAAGAUACACCUCAGUGUUCAUAGGGGUGCUAUUUACAAUAGCCAAGACAUGGAAACAACCUAAAUGUCCAUCGACAGAGGAAUGGAUCGAGACGAUGUGGUACAUAUACACACUGGAAUACUACUCAGCCAUAAAAAAGAUGAAAUAAUGCCAUUUUGCAGCUACAUGGAUGGACCCAGAUAUUGUCAUACUAAGUGAAGUAAGUCAGAAAAAAAAACACUAUAUGAUAUCACUUAUGUGUGAAGUCUGAAAAAAUGAUACAAAUGAUUUACGGAAGAGAAAUGGAUUCACAAACAAAAACCCCCCAAAAUUAUGGUUACCAGAGGGGAUAGUGGUAUUGUGGGGGGGGGGAGAUAAACUAGGAGUUUGGGAUUAACACAUACACACUACUAUAUACAAAAUAGAAAAAAAAAACAAAAAACAAAACCCAAAAAAUAGAUAACAAACAAGGACCUACUGUAUAGCACAGGGAACUAUAUUCAAUAUCUUAUAAUGGAAAAUAAUCUUAAAAAGAAAAUAUUUAUACAUAUAUACAUACAUAUAUAUACAUAUAAAACUGAAUCACUUUGCUCUACACAUGAAACUAACACGACAUUGUAAAUUAACUAUAUUUCAAUUACGAAAAUGGUUACGAGAAAAAAAGAAAGAAGAAAGAAUACACACAGAUACACAGAUUAUCCCUGGGGAAAAAAUCUGCUUUUAAAUGAAACGGCAAGAAAAAAAAAUCAGCUGUUUUAAUGAUUCCUGCAUUAAAUAAAUACAACAAAUACACAGGUGGCCUCUGGCUCAAAUUUAUCUUAAGAACUUUAAGAGAUAAUUUAGUUUCUAACUUAUUUCUCUAAUAUUUUGAGUCUCAGGAGCAUUUUUAUGUUCUGUGGACAUGGUCAAAUCCAUGUAAUAUUCCAGUGUCAAGUGUUUCUCCAGGGAGCAGUAAUCACAACUAGUAUUGCUAUCACCAAAUUCUAAUGUUCCUACAUUUCUUAAUUCCCUUCAAGAUUCAAACUCCAUAUGCAUAUGCACUUGACUGAAGUGCAUUGAAUUACAAUGUCUGCCAUUUAACUACCAUUUAAAAUUAGUGAGUAGAAGUUCCUCUUAUGGUGCAAUGGGUUAAGAAUCUGACUGCAUAGCUCGGGUCACUGUGGAGAUGCUGGUUUGAUCCCCUGCGUGGUGCAGUGGCUUAAGGAUCUGGCAUUGCCGGAACUGCGGUGUAGGUCGAAGCUGCAGCUCAGAUGCACUCCCUGGCUUGGGAACUUCCAUAUGCCAUGGGUGCAGCCAUAAAAAAAAUAAAUUAUUACAGGCGACAAGGUCAUAAUAGAACGGCAAACGUCAAGUCAGCACCUGAGACAAAUGAAACUUGACUUUGUAUCAGAACUACCACUAACUUUAGUUUCAUCUUUGGAUUUUAUGGCCAUUAUACUUAGAGUCUUGGUAAUGUUCCCUGUGUGUGUGUGUCUCUCUCUCCAUCCCUAGACCUUAUUUACCAUAUUUAAUUUAAAUUGCCUGUUUAAGCAUCUGCGAGGCCUCACUUGAUCAUAGGCUCUCAAAAUCAGGGACUUCAUAUAAUAUAUCUCCCUUGCUCUGCAAAAAACCCAACUCACCCCAGCCCCCGGAGACUGAAUUAAAUUGAUAGAAUCCCUUGAUCAAGAUCAUGGGUCCUCUCAGGCUUUGGACUGAGAGAAGAUAAGCCUUAACAGCCAGAAAUCUAUUCAAACAGUGGGACUAACCUUUCACUUCCUGGAGGAAGCAGAAUAACACAGAAGUUAAUUAAACACAAGGACUCUGAGAGCCUAAGACUUGGGUUCAAAUCGUACCUGUGUCCCUAGCUGUAUAGCUUGGGCUAGUUCUUCAGAUCUUCACUUAUAAAGUGGAGUGGUGGUCCUGGGGCUAACUUCUGGAAUGCUCGGUAAAUGUUAACUCUGCUAUUUUUACAAGUCAGCAGGCAAUACUUAACUGAGGGAUCCUGCAAAUGUACAAAAAUGAAUACACUUCUAAGUCCAAAAAAUGGGCCAAACUGAGGGGCUAUGUUCAGAAUGCGUAUUUUUGUCUGCCUAACAGAGUACUUUGGAAGUUUGCUCAGGUUAAAAGUGCAGCGUUAAGGAGUUCCUGCUGUGGUGCAACAGGAUCUGCGGCAUCUCUGGAAAGCUGGGGUGCUGGUUUGAUCCCCAGCCUAACACUGUUGCCUCAGCUGUGGCGUAGGUUGCAACUGCGGCUUGGAUCUUGAUCACCCCCGCCCCCGUGCUGCCCGGGAGCUCCAUAUGUGUCAAGGUGGCCCAACAAGUAGGAAGACAACGUGCAGCAUUACCAUUUUGCAGGGGCCCCGAGUUUGUUAGGCUUAGCUUUUCAGGAAUGUCUCUGAAUAAAAGGCAUUAUUUCUCUUGAUAAUGGUAUAAAAUUCUUUCCUGACUUUGAACCUCCAAAUCCCAUACAUUUCUUCUGAG
rnacentral:lncRNA from 1 species